rnacentral:rRNA from 1 species
UACGUAGGGGGCAAGCGUUGUCCGGAUUUAUUGGGCGUAAAGAGCGUGUAGGCGGCUGGGUAGGUCCGCUGUGAAAACUUGAGGCUCAACCUCAAGAGGUCGGUGGAAACCAUCCAGCUAGAGUCCGGAAGAGGAGAAUGGAAUUCCUGGUGUAGCGGUGAAAUGCGCAGAUAUCAGGAAGAACACCCGUGGCGAAGGCGGUUCUCUGGGACGGUACUGACGCUGAGGAGCGAAAGCGUGGGGAGCGAACAGG